rnacentral:rRNA from 1 species
UACGUAGGGUGCGAGCGUUGUCCGGAAUUAUUGGGCGUAAAGAGCUCGUAGGCGGUGUGUCACGUCGGCCGUGAAAACCUGGGGCUUAACUCUGGGCGUGCGGUCGAUACGGGCAUCACUAGAGUUCGGCAGGGGAGACUGGAAUUCCUGGUGUAGCGGUGAAAUGCGCAGAUAUCAGGAGGAACACCGGUGGCGAAGGCGGGUCUCUGGACCGAUACUGACGCUGAGGCGCGAAAGCGUGGGGAGCAAACAGG